rnacentral:rRNA from 1 species
CGCCUGAGUAGUACGUUCGCAAGAGUGAAACUUAAAGGAAUUAACAAAAGAUCCGCACAAGCGGUGGAGCAUGGGGUUUAAUUUGAAGAUACGCGUAGAACCUUACCCACUCUUGACAUCUUCUGCAAAGCUAUAGAGAUAUAGUGGAGGUUAACAGAAUGACAGAUGGUGCAUGGUUGUCGUCAGCUCGUGUCGUGAGAUGUUCGGUUAAGUCCUGCAACGAGCGCAACCCUUGUUCUUAGUUACUUUAUCUAAGGAGACUGCCCGAGUAAUUGGGAGGAAGGUGGGGACGACGUCAAAUCAUCAUGCCUCUUACGAGUGGGGCAACACACGUGCUACAAUGGACGAUACAAAGAGAAGCAAAAUAGUGAUAUCAAGCAAAUCUCAAAAAAUCGUUCUCAGUUCGGAUUGUAGUCUGCAAUUUUUACUACACCCCAGUCGGAAUCGCUAGUAAUCGUAUAUCUUUCUACGCUACGGUGAAUACGUUUCUCGGGGUUUGUACACACCGC